AAUUUCAGAACGGUGUUUAUUAAACCUCGACCUCAAUUCUGCAACAUCUCGCGAUAAUUUUAGAUCCGUCGUUCCGUACUUUCGUUCUUUGAUUCAAUGGUUUUGGCUAAAAUUGAGAUGUUUGAAAACGUUAGAGCUGCACAUUGAAUCGCAGGGAGCCAGACUAUGUCCUAUUUAAUAUAUGAAUAAAUAUUAAUACAAACAUACCCAUACAUAAUCUUCCUACAGUAUUAUUAUUAUUAAUGUUCAACACUCCCGAAUAAUGUACAUACAGUUAUAUCAAAGCGGUCAGUGUUGAGAAACACGCGAGGCGAAUAAUGUGCAUACAGUUGUAUCAGAGCAGUCAGUGUUGAGAAACACGCGAGGCGAGUAAUGUACAUACAGUUAUAUCAGAGCAGUCAGUGUUGAGAAACACGCGAGGUCAGUAAUGUACAUACAAUCAUAUCAGAGCAGUCAGUGUUGAGAAACACGCGAGGCCAUUAAUGUGCAUACAGUUAUAUCAAAGCAGUCAGUGUUGAGAAACACGCGAGGCGAGUAAUGUACAUACAGUUAUAUCAGAGCAGUCAGUGUUGAGAAACACAUGAGGCGAGUAAUGUACAUACAGUUAUAUCAGAGCAGUCAGUGUUGAGAAGCACGUGAGGUCAGUAAUGUGCAUACAGUUAUAUCAAAUCGGUCAGUACAGAAACACUGACCGCUUUGAUAUAACUAUAUGCACAUUACUCGCCACCAGUGACAUGAAUAUAACUGGAACGCCACCUUCAGCUAAACUGCUUACCUUUUUCUUGAAGCCAAAUCUGACCCCUAGUCAAAGCCAAGAACACGCGCAUCUUGCUCGCUUUGUCGUAAAACGCCGCCAUCCAUUUUUGACAAACAUUUUUCAAACUCUGUUCUCGUUUCCCUUCGUCGAAAGCUUCCUUUUCCUCGUUGUAUUUUUUGUAGAAUUUUGGAAAUUCUUUUGACCGUUCCGCGUUCCUUAGCGAAGACAUUUAAAAUGUCUGUAACCUUAUUCUUUGCAUACUUUUCUCUUAGAACAACCUUUUAACGUGUCUGAUAAUGCCACCAGCUUGUUGUAAGUUGUUAACAGUUUGUUUCAAACUUUUUACAACAACUGGGAACAAGCAGUCGAAUUUAUGGGAUAUAGCGAAGCCGUCGAAUUGGUGAAGUGAAGUCAGUUUUUUUGAGACCUAGCAUUCAAAUGAACUAGUUUGAGUUUAGUUUUGCUGGCCUGAUGAUUGUAGUUAAUAUCGAUAAUUUACGGAUUGCAUCGCCUUACUCGUAUUAAAUUAGUCGCGCAUUGUUUAUUAAGAUUCGUGGAUCGAUUUGUAAUUCGGACGGGUAUCUCUAAUGUUUUCUCAAUUUCGGUUCUUGGGGUUGUGGUUGUCCCAUGGUAACUCACUCGGAGACAUUGUAGUGUUUUGGAAGGUGACAGAGUGUCUCCAUUAAAGAUCUUGGGUAGUGGGGAGUUUGAUUGGGAAGAGAAGCUAGAUGGGGCUAGUUGGCAGGAUAAGGGACAGUUGUCUGGACCUAUCGCUAUUAACUAAGUUUAGAUGAGAAAAAACGCAUUCGGUCGCCCUUUAAGGUGAUUUCGAUAAGAUAUAUAUUUUAUUGUUUUGAGAACAUCAUUACGAGGCGCCUGUUGGUUGCUUUGUGAAUUAAUUGUGCUUGAAGAGUUUGAAUUAUGUGAAGCGGUGUUAUUGCCACGAGUAUUGCUAGCCUAUCAUUGAUGAUUGAAGUUACAGAGUCACCUGCAAUGUAAGGCCACUACAAGUUAAUCUUUAGUUUCUGGUCCGCCGCCCGCGUCCUUUCUCCGUAAAGUAUUAUUUGAGGACUAUUUUGUUGUUUACAAUUAAUUUCUAGUUCUUGAAAAUUUCGCGAAGGAUUUAAUUUAUAGAACGAUAAAUAUUCAAUUUACACUAAAAAGACCUAGCAAAAUGUAGCAUUGAAUGGUAAAAACCACUGUCUUAAGGUCCAGACACACCGGACGCGAUUCGACAACGCGACGCGAUUUUUCAAUUUUCACUGACCGAUAACUUUGAUCCUAGUUUAAUAAACUUUCCAAAUAUUUAGAAGCGUUAUAACAUUUUGAGUUAUUUGGUCUGCAUAUCUCUUAAAAUUUGCUCUCAUUGGCUGUUUUAUUGACUUUCAAAAACUAAAAAAUCGCGUCGCGUUGUCGAAUCGCGUGCGGUUUGUCUGGACCUUUAUCGAGAUUACGAGGUAAAAAAUAGGUACGCUAAGCGUACAUGUAUCUGCGCAAAGGAAAUCCAUGGUUGCUAUGAAAAAAUUUCAUUCAUAAUUAUUGAGUAAACAUUUAAAUUUCGAAGUAACUAUACAGCUGGCAGCCAGCUAUUUAGUAAUCUGCCGGCUAUAUAGUGACUAAGAAAAAAUGCUAAGUCAAACAAAACACAACCCGACCCGGACUGCGUUUCACUUUCCGCACACAGUGCCUACCAUACACUCUAACGGUAAGCUCGGUGAAAGCUAGUGCAAACAAAAGUUUUUUUAUAUUUAACUAUAGUCACUAUCAUAAAUACCCAGCUGCCGGCUAGUCACUUUGUUUAUAUUUGAUGAUAGGACAAAAAAAUGUUCAGAUUGCAGUCUCUUCUCUACUGCAAUCAACUGUCAGUCAACUGCCAGUGGCAGACACAUAAACUGUAAAAAUCUUGUACCGAAUAAUACAAAUCACACUUAUAUAAUAGUACCAUUAAUUAAAACAUUGUAAUUUAAUACCAUUAAUUAAAACAGUGUUUUGAAAACCUAGUUUUUAACAAAAUGUGUUCUCAGAAUGCUGCAAAUGCCAUUUUCGAAGUAACAUCUUAAAGCCUUUUCGUGAGUAACCAUGCAAUGUAUGGUUACUCACGAAAAGGCUUUAAGAUGUUACUGAUGUUACUUACUAACUUGAUAAGCUUAUUCAUGUUCCGAUACCAUCAUUUACAAAACUUGCCACAUUCAUUUACGGAUUUUUU
rnacentral:lncRNA from 1 species